GACGUAGGGCGCGAGCGUUGUCCGGAAUUAUUGGGCGUAAAGAGCUCGUAGGCGGUUUGUCGCGUCUGCUGUGAAAACUCGGGGCUUAACUCCGGGCCUGCAGUGGGUACGGGCAGACUAGAGUGCGGUAGGGGAGACUGGAAUUCCUGGUGUAGCGGUGAAAUGCGCAGAUAUCAGGAGGAACACCGGUGGCGAAGGCGGGUCUCUGGGCCGUAACUGACGCUGAGGAGCGAAAGCGUGGGGAGCGAACAGG
rnacentral:rRNA from 1 species